UACGUAGGCAGCGAGCGUUGUUCGGAGUUACUGGGCGUAAAGGGUGUGUAGGCGGUUGUUUAAGUUUGGUGUGAAAUCUCCCGCUCAACUGGGAGGGUGCGCCGAAUACUGAAUGACUUGGAGUGCGGGAGAGGAGAGUGGAAUUCCUGGUGUAGCGGUGAAAUGCGUAGAUAUCAGGAGGAACACCGGUGGUGUAGACGGCUCUCUGGACCGUAACUGACGCUGAGACACGAAAAGCGUGGGUAGCAAACAGG
rnacentral:rRNA from 1 species